ACUCGGCUUUUUAUUUUUUUAAGGUAACCGUUACAAAAGAAAAUGUUGCAAAUAUUAUAGAUGAUUUAAAUUAUAUUUUGUUUAAUAGAAGUCGUACACUUACAUCAGAUAUUUUGCGAGUUUCAAGUAUUAAAAAUAAUGUUAUCAAUAUUAAUUCUUCAUCAGAUCAGGUUACAAAUGGCAUCUUAUUAACUAUAGACAGUCUAUUAAGUUUGAAUAGAGAAUUAGUUAAACAAGCAAAUCAAAUACUAAAUUUAUCAGCAGUAUUCUUAUCUCAACUGAACAUUUUGGCUGAGCAACAAACCUCUAAUUUUACUAAAGCGAUGAAAAUAUAUUGGUUUUACAUUAUAUACUUCUUUAGAAAUUAGUAAACCUAUAUAUAUUUAUUCUCUUGAAAUGAAAGAUAACAUCAGUGUAAGUAUAUCAAGCGAUGAUCCUAGAGAUGAAUAUACAAACUUAGAAGACUACAUAAUUCUUCCUUCACAACUUUUCAGUGAGCGAAGUCAAAUCAAAGUUUAUUCAUAUAUAUUUUGAGACAAAACAUUUUUUGAAGAAAGAAACUAAAUUAUAGAUAGUGUGAUUUUCUGCCACCAUAAGUGAUGUUUAUGUAAAUAAAUCCAACCAUCUAAUAAAAAUGAAGUUUUCUAAUCAGAAAAUUAUUUUUGGUUUCAAAUCAUGUCAGUUCUACAAUGUUGAAAAACAAAUUUGGUCAUCUGAUGGAUGUUACACCACCAAUUUAUUAUUAUCAGAAAUCUAUUGUCAAUGUAAUCACCUCACAAACUUUGCACUGAUAUUAGAUGUUUAUCAAUCAGGCAACAACCCUGUUAUUCUCAGCAAUGUUUCACUGACUGGUUUUAUAGUAUCAAUUGCUGAAUUAAUUAUGACUAUUAUAAGCUAUGCUGCUUUUCCAAAAUUACGAUAAAAACGCGCUCCAAAAAUACUUAUUAUUUUGUGUGUAAAUCUGAUGACUACGCUUAUUUUGUUUCAUGUUUUUGCGGAACGGACCAAGCCUCCUGUUUUAUGCAAGGUUGUUGCUUCGUUGUUACAGUUUUUUAUUUUGUCGACAUUUUUCUGGAUGGCUGUUAAAGGUUUUAAUUUAUAUAGAAUAUUUGUAAAAGUUUUUAACAAUUCACGUUCACGUACGUUUUUAUUGAAGUCAUCCUUGUUUGCAUGGGGCAUACCUCUAAUAUUCACCAUAUCAACUGCUGCUAGUAAAACUGAUUACCAUAAAACUCAAACUAAAAGCGUUCCCGAGAUCAGGUGCAACUGUAAAAAAAAUGUUCGAAGUGCAUUUGUAUGCUCUUUAUUACUUGGUACAACUUGGAUAUUUGCAGUGUUAGCUUACGGAGAUGCGCGAGAUGUAUUUCAAUGGUUGUUUUUGUAUUUUUAAUUCGUUGCAAGGCUUUUUUAUUUUUGUUGUAUAUAUUUUGCAAAGUCAGCAGGUUAAAGACCAUUGGGUCUCUUAUAUAAAAGAAAAAUGGAGUUUAAUGAGGAAAGAAUCUGGUUAAUUUCAUCUUUCAAUUGUUUAUUCUUUAUUUAUAUUUUUUCAUUUAUUUAUUUUAUGAUUCUGAUUAUUUUAAAGAUUUUCAAAUCAAAAUUUCCUAUAGUCCAGGUCAUUGUCAAUUACUUUUUGUAACUGUUUAAAAUAUAUUACUCAUAAGUUUUAUUUUUCUA